AGGAGCUUAGGUUAAACUAGACCAAGAGCCUUCAAAGCUCUAAGUAAAUAGCAUAUAUUUAGCUCCUG
rnacentral:tRNA from 1 species